rnacentral:rRNA from 1 species
GACGAACGCUGGCGGCGUGCCUAAUACAUGCAAGUUGAGCGCUGAAGGUUGGUACUUGUACCAACUGGAUGAGCAGCGAACGGGUGAGUAACGCGUGGGGAAUCUGCCUUUGAGCGGGGGACAACAUUUGGAAACGAAUGUUAAUACCGCAUAAAAACUUUAAACACAAGUUUUAAGUUUGAAAGAUGCAAUUGCAUCACUCAAAGAUGAUCCCGCGUUGUAUUAGCUAGUUGGUGAGGUAAAGGCUCACCAAGGCGAUGAUACAUAGCCGACCUGAGAGGGUGAUCGGCCACAUUGGGACUGAGACACGGCCCAAACUCCUACGGGAGGCAGCAGUAGGGAAUCUUCGGCAAUGGACGAAAGUCUGACCGAGCAACGCCGCGUGAGUGAAGAAGGUUUUCGGAUCGUAAAACUCUGUUGGUAGAGAAGAACGUUGGUGAGAGUGGAAAGCUCAUCAAGUGACGGUAACUACCCAGAAAGGGACGGCUAACUACGU